rnacentral:rRNA from 1 species
UGCUACAGUUUUUUGGGCCAAAGCACUGAGGCCAUAUGUCAUUAAGCAUGUCUGAUAUAGAAGGAUAAGAAGCUCAGGCCUUGUUAGUACAUAGGUGGGAGACCACCAGGAAGUACUAGGUACCGUAGGCU